CGACACCCACCACACCACUCCAAGUUUGGAGGUGGUCUGUGAGUGAAAGUGGCCAUCCGAAUGGGGCCCACCCGUCUGGGUGGGCAGAUUGGGUUGGCUGAAAUGGAGGGAAUUUGGCCGCCGUGGUGACACAGCCCGCGAUCAGGUGAUCCAGGCUCAACCCCUGGAACUCAAACGUGCGCCGGUUGUGCCACCCAGUUGGUCGGACGGAAUUCCAAAGCAGGUCCUUCUCCCGACGCUGGGCCCCUCACGGGGCCGAGUGGAGGGAGACGUCGUCACGC
rnacentral:misc_RNA from 1 species